GUAUAAAUUUUACUGGACCUCUACUAACACCAAUUGAAGAGCUUCAAAUGUCUACCAUAAUUCAUCAUUUAACAAGUUUAUUUCUCUUUCUUCUCUGCUACUCUCUCAUUUUGUCUCAUCAUCCCCACACUUUCAUCUCUCUCUAUUCUCAAUCUCUCUUUCUCUCUGCCAUCCCCAUCUCAUCUUUAUGCUCUCAUCUCUCAUAUCAAUAUCAUCAUCUAGCAAAUCCAAACCAAGAUCAACUCAAAGUUCACAUGCAAGUGUAGAUUUGUAAUCCUUGAAUCUUGGGCUUUCAAGAAAGGAUCAAGGAGCCAUGGUUAAGGGAUUUGAAGUAAUUUAGAAGAAUAUUGGUGACCAGGUUUAUCCAAACAACUGGUUUAUGAAAAUAACUGGUUUAUACAAACAGUUGCUGGAUUGGAUUGCUGAUUUAUGUAAAUGUUUGGUUGCAUGUGUUGCUCCUAAUGAUAUCAUUUCAUUCUUCUAUUGCUGGCAAAGAAGCGGAAACAGAGUCCUCAAUUUAUCCAUUCAACAUGUCACUCUCCUCAUUCUCGUCCGCUCCCCUCGUGGUACAGCCACCAUCCCUCCCAUCUCUUUCAUUUUUUCGCUUCUUCCUCUGCAGAAGAAGCUGCGGCAGAGCGCCGUCGUUACAAGCACCGUCUCCUCUCCCCCUUCUCGUCCGCUCCCCUCGUGGUACCACCACCGUCCCUCUCAUCUCAAUCACAGUCCGUUUUUUUGUUUCUUCCUCUGCGGCAGAGCACCGUCGUUACAAGCGUAGUCUCCGUAUCAAACUUCCUUUGAACACAAUUCGUCCUCCACCUCAUCAACAUCAUCUCUCUCUCAUCAAGAUGGCAGAUCUCUGGGUAAGGGAAUGGGUAAUUUCCGUAAGAGAAGGAACAAAUGUGAAACAGUACCAAGUAGAUAAGUAAGGUCUUGGAUGCCACCCUUGAAGAUUUGGAGUUUUGAUAUGUGAUUUCUUGAAUCCAUCAUGGGACAAGAGUGAGUAACAUGAAAUUUGAUUUGAGGGUAGUUUUGAUUCAGUUUCAAUUAUUGCUUUUGACCGUGUAGCUUCUACCGUCAAGUCUGCAGUUGAUAUUCAAACACCGGGUGAUCUUAUAACUCUUACUGCUGCAGCUGCAACAGCUUUGAGAGGAGAAGCAGCUUUUAUAGCGAGAUUUCCAAAAGAAGCAAAGAAGAAUGCAUCAAUAAGUCCCUAUGAUAAGGGAAUAGCAGAAACACAAUGUCCACUUGCUUUUGCUUUUGAGGGUCAGAUGUUAGAAAACUUUUCUCCAUGUGUGGAUGAUUUGUUGCAGGUUACAGAAAAAGGUGCAUUACGAUGGAAACAUGUGUCUGUUUACAUCAACAAGAAAUAUUAGGUCAAAAUUAAGAUCAAAAGCAAACACAUUGGAGGAGCUUUCUCCAAAAAGAGUAAAUGUGUGGAUUAUGGAGUGUGUAAUGAAGACUCGGCAUGGCCAUAUCAAAAAGAAAGGGAAGCUUCUGAAGAGCUCUAUUUUGGCCUCAAAACUGCACAAGGUCUUCUAGAAUUUAAGUCUGAGAGCAAACUCCAAAAGCAAAAAUGGGUUGAUGGGACACUAUGCACUAUUUCGUAUCGUUUGAGAUUGCUCUUCUUUCUCGCUUUCUUUUGGCAUACCUGGCGACGUGAAUGAGUGAACAGGGAGCACACACAAGAACCGCGGCAGCCUCCGAUGUAGAUGAGAAGGUGGAAAAGAUGGGAAGAAGAAACCAAGACACUGAGUACCAAUUUUCACAUGAUCCUGAAAGAUUCAGAUUUGCUGGUGAGACUUCAUUUGGAAAAAGACACUUGAGUUUCUGGACUAAAAAACCUGUCCUAAUUUGGAUUGUUUGUUUCUUCAGCCAAUUUAUAAGGUCAGUUCCUGAAGUGGAUUACUUGACCUUAAGGCAUGGAUUUAUUAUGGUAAUUAAUAUUACUCCUCUAUACCAAAUUUCUAUCAUUUUUUUGGUUAUUAGUAUUCAUUAAUAAUAAAUUAAUAAUACUCAAAGGAUGGAUCGUUCGGAAGAAUCCGAAUUCAAUUUUUGAGUCGUUAUAUUGUUGUUGAAGCUCUCUACCAGGUAGAUCUUUUCUAUCAUGUUUUUAUUAGCUUUAGACAUCUAUAUUGUGUUUCCAAAGUAGUGCUCACAGUCUUAAGAUUUAGUUGAAUGAAUUGCUUGCUUCAAGCAUCACUCAAUAUUGAUUAAUUACUUAAUUUUGCUAUAUGAACUGUUAUUUCUGCUGAGAUAGUAUGGUAAUCAACAAAUGCAAAUUGAAGAUAUAUGAAGUAUUUAAACAAAUAUUUUGAUCUAUUGGUGUUGCUGUUAGAUUGGUGUCUGUUGCAAGUUUCAAUAUCAUUCCUUAAAAGACUAUUGUUACUUGCCCUGGUUUCAUCCACUAUUCUGAUUUCUAUCGCUAUUUGUGAUUUAUUGUAGUGUGCUGCAGGUUAGACAUUAGAUCUUAUAACUGCUGCUAUAGGACAUGCAUUGGCCACAGAAGGAAGAUUCUGCACCAGAAGUGCGAGAGUUACAGAUCACCAAGUAUGGUAGUUCAUAUAUAAACUGAUUCAUAAACUAAUUUGGAUUUUCAUGUAAACUGAGAUAAAAAGAGAGGAAAAUAUGGUCGAUGAUGGUGACUAUUAUUUCUCAUCCAUUUUCCCAGCACUAAUAUCUGUGGUUUCAACUUUGGCAGCGAUUGAGUAGCUCUGGCUACGUCUUUUAUGCUUCUUUGCCUCCAUAUCUGGCAAGCGCUGCAAUUACAACUAUUGAUGUCCUCGAGGAAAAUCCCAGUCUGUUAACAAAGUUGAAGAAAAGCGUCGCUGUCUUACGGAAAGGUUUGUGCAGAAGUUGGUCAAUCCAGUAUAAAAACAGAACUUUCUCAAGAAGAUGCAGAAUCUGAGUUUCUUACUCCAAAAAGUUGCUUCUGAAUUCUAUUGAUAAGGUUGAGAGGCUCUUGCAUAAGAAUUGGUGAAACUUUCACACAUUGAUGUCUAUGAGGUGAAGAAAAAAUUAGGAAAUUCUUGAAGCAUAGUUGAAGUUAAAGAGAGUUUUUAUCUGACAUUAGAAGUAGUGAUUUAGAGGUGAGGUAGAAAGGAAAUUUGGAUGAAAUCCUCUUCUAAUGAUAUUUCCAAUAUUCCAAUUGAUUCAUCGUAGGGUUUUGUACUCUUUCUUACAGUUACAAUGUACAAGAAGAAUGUUUCAUCAAAUUGUAUAGUGAUUUCCUUACUCGAA